UACGUAGGGGGCUAGCGUUGUCCGGAAUCAUUGGGCGUAAAGCGCGUGUAGGCGGCCCGGUAAGUCCGCUCUGAAAGUCGGGGGCUCAACCCUCGGAUGCGGGUGGAUACUGUCGGGCUUGAGUGCGGAAGAGGCGAGUGGAAUUCCUGGUGUAGCGGUGAAAUGCGCAGAUAUCAGGAGGAACACCAAUUGCGAAGGCAGCUCGCUGGGACGUUACUGACGCUGAGACGCGAAAGCGUGGGGAGCGAACAGG
rnacentral:rRNA from 1 species